UAUUAUGGGAAACAGAAUUGGCAAAAAGUCUGUAUCCAAUCCAAACAACCCCAAGAAAGGUUUAAUCCUCAUCUCACUAAAUAAACAACCUUAUCCUAAUCGUAUACCGAUACUACACAUCUAGCUAGCCUUAUAUAUAGGAGAGAUUCAAUCUACCUCCAGUUUUUUGCUUCACCGGCGGUGCCAAUCCAACAGACCUACCAGUGCAAAACGCGGAGGGAGAGAGGGGAGUCGACCGUGACAAGAAUGUGCCACUAACAAAUAUGGGUAUUGUUAACCAUGAAAAAGAACCUAUCAACAAGAGCGAUGUGCAGAUAGAAAUAGCAAAUUCGCAUCAUAACAAACCAAGAAGAGCAAAUACAAAUAUUACACCACAAGAUUAUAUUUGCACACGGGACGAUAUUUCCGUUAUUAAAUCAAUCAUGUCCUUGCAUGAAAAAACGAAGUUGGUGCACAUCAAUGAUGCAUUAUUAAGGAACGCUGAGAUGAGAUGCCUUACGCAUGAUGAUGGGCAAACUUAUAGUUGUUGGGAUUUGGGGUGGCAACUUGAUUGAGAACUCAUAUAGGUGGUCAACAACUGAAGGCAAUAAAUCUAUUGUCCUUGCCACUAUGCUUCGUAAGGAUUGCAAAUACGGAAAUCUAGAAACUUCAAAUUACACCAUUCUUGCAUUCAACCCGGAUCAUACUGCAGCACGCGCACUUGAUGAUAUUCGCCAGAAAAUAAUAGGUGGGUUGAUUGAUAUGAAGUUUGUUCACCAAUUUAUUGAGUGGAGGUGAGCUUUCCUAGCAAGCGAGUUGUCUACAAAGGAUCCCGACACAGGAUGUAUACAAAGAAAGCUCGGCGCAUGUAGUAAGAUAGUAGACAUUGGUUAUGCCUAUUAUAGGAUGUAUACAAAGAAAGCUCGGCGCAUGUAGUAAGAUAGUAGACAUUGGUUAUGCCUAUUACGCAUGAUUGUGUGUUUCAAUUUGUAAGUGUAGUUAUCACGUACUUGUUUUGUAUCUACUAUGUAGGUGACUGUUUCGUCAUGUUUGUUUGUGUCUAUGGUGUUUUAAGGGAUGUGCUA